CCGCUUUUAGCUCAUGGUUGAGCGCUGGAUUUGGAAGCCACAGGUCGGUGGUUCGAACCCACCAGGGCACA
rnacentral:tRNA from 1 species